rnacentral:lncRNA from 1 species
GCCGGUCCGCGAGCGCGUGUGGUGUCUGCCUUGUGAGCACUGCGGGUUCGCUGGACCCCGCGGCCAGGGCCGCGCCCCGCACCGCAGCUGUCGGAUUACCCACCGUUCGGUUUUCCGCUGUGGCUGAACACAGCGGCUCUGCCCUUGCCAGUCUCCAUCUCACCUCGGGGAUCGGCAAAUGCACACAUCAUGGAUUCUCCGGAUGCUCCAACCCGCGGACUCCAAUGGGCGCCCCAAGACGCCCCCAGACCCAGCGCGGCGCCCCAAGCACAUGGGACCCUCUCAAGGCAACUCGCCGCGCAGUCAGCGGCCGACUAGCAGACCCAGAGCAGCGAGGUCACGGUGUCCGCGGCCUCAGCAGGAAGGACCCCGCGAUGGUUCUUCACAAUUCACCCCCGCGAACAACGCACCCGAGCCUGCGCGCACGGAGGGCUGCCGCGCGUGGAACUGAGCGGGUCCUGGGUUGGUUUGCGGCCCUCUUCCCUCCGCCCACUCACAUCCCUGCCGGGUGCGUCCGCGCUCACCUGUCAGUGCGGCGGGUCCUCGGGGCCUGCGCUUUCGACGCGUGGCGCUGAGUGCGGCCGC